GAUGAACGCUGGCGGCGUGCCUAAUACAUGCAAGUCGAGCGAACAGACGAUGAGCUUGCUCCUCUGACGUUAGCGGCGGACGGGUGAGUAACACGUGGAUAACCUACCUAUAAGACUGGGAUAACUUCGGGAAACCGGAGCUAAUACCGGAUAAUAUAUUGAACCGCAUGGUUCAAUAGUUAAAGACGGUUUUGCUGUCACUUAUAGAUGGAUCCGCGCCGCAUUAGCUAGUUGGUAAGGUAACGGCUUACCAAGGCAACGAUGCGUAGCCGACCUGAGAGGGUGAUCGGCCACACUGGAACUGAGACACGGUCCAGACUCCUACGGGAGGCAGCAGUAGGGAAUCUUCCGCAAUGGGCGAAAGCCUGACGGAGCCACGCCGCGUGAGUGAUGAAGGUCUUCGGAUCGUAAAACUCUGUUAUUAGGGAAGAACAAAUGUGUAAGUAACUAUGCACGUCUUGACGGUACCUAAUCAGAAAGCAACGGCUAACUACGUG
rnacentral:rRNA from 1 species